AUUGAACGCUGGCGGCAGGCCUAACACAUGCAAGUCGAGCGAGCGGCGGACGGGUGAGUAAUGUAUGGGGACUGCCCGAUAGAGGGGGAUAACUACUGGAAACGGUCGCUAAUACCGCAUACUAUCGGAUAACCCAUAUGGGGUUAGCUAGUAGGUGAGGUAAUGGCUCACCUAGGCGACGAUCCCUAGCUGGUCUGAGAGGAUGAUCAGGCACACUGAGAGUGAGACACGGCCCAGAUACAGGAGGAGGCAGCGAUGGGGAAUAUUGCACAAUGGACGCAAGCCUGAUGCAGACAUACCGCGUGUAUGAAGAAGUCCCUAUGGUUGUAAAGUACUUUCAGUCAGGAGGCGUUACCGAAAGAAGAAGAACCGGCUAACUCCGUGCCAGCAGCCGCGGAAAUUC
rnacentral:rRNA from 1 species